AGAGUUUGAUCAUGGCUCAGAAUCAACGCUGGCGGCGUGCCUAACACAUGCAAGUCGAGCGGACCCUUCGGGGGUUAGCGGCGGACGGGUUAGUAACGCGUGGGAACGUGCCCAAAGGUACGGAAUAGCCUCGGGAAACUGAGAGUAAUACCGUAUGUGCCCCUCGGGGGAAAGAUUUAUCGCCUUUGGAUCGGCCCGCGUUGGAUUAGGUAGUUGGUGGGGUAAUGGCCUACCAAGCCGACGAUCCAUAGCUGGUUUGAGAGGAUGAUCAGCAACACUGGGACAGAGACACGGCCCAGACUCCUACGGGAGGCAGCAGGUGGGGAAUCUUAGGCAAUGGGGGAAACCCUGAUCUAGCCAUGCCGCGUGGACGAUGAAGGCCUUAGGGUUGUAAAGUCCUUUCAGCUGGGAAGAUAAUGACGGUACCAGCAGAAGAAGCCCCGGCUAACUCCGUG
rnacentral:rRNA from 1 species